GAUGAACGCUGGCGGCGUGCCUAACACAUGCAAGUCGAGCGGCAGCGAGGGGUGCUUGCACCCUGUCGGCGAGCGGCGGACGGCUGAGUAACGCGUGGGAACGUGCCCCAAAGUGAGGAAUAACUGCCCGAAAGGGUAGCUAAUACCGCAUAUUAUCUUCGGAUCAAAGGAUUUAUCCGCUUUGGGAGCGGCUCGCGUCGGAUUAGGUAGUUGGUGAGUUAAUGGCUCAACAAGCCGACGAUCCGUAGCUGGUCUGAGAGGAUGACCAGCCAGACUGGAACUGAGACACGGUCCAGACUCCUACGGGAGGCAGCAGUGAGGAAUCUUCCACAAUGGGCGAAAGCCUGAUGGAGCAACGCCGCGUGAAGGACGAAGGCCUUCGGGUUGUAAACUGCUUUUAUAAGUGAGGAAUAUGACGGUAACUUAUGAAUAAGGAUCGGCUAACUACGUG
rnacentral:rRNA from 1 species